UACGUAGGGUGCGAGCGUUAAUCGGAAUUACUGGGCGUAAAGCGUGCGCAGGCGGUCUGUUAAGACCGAUGUGAAAUCCCCGGGCUUAACCUGGGAACUGCAUUGGUGACUGGCAGGCUUUUGAGUGUGGCAGAGGGAGGUAGAAUUCCACGUGUAGCAGUGAAAUGCGUAGAGAUGUGGAGGAAUACCGAUGGCGAAGGCAGCCUCCUGGGCCAACACUGACGCUCAUGCACGAAAGCGUGGGAGCAAACAGG
rnacentral:rRNA from 1 species